rnacentral:rRNA from 1 species
UACGAAGGGGGCUAGCGUUGUUCGGAUUUACUGGGCGUAAAGCGCACGUAGGCGGAUUGUUAAGUCAGGGGUGAAAUCCUGGAGCUCAACUCCAGAACUGCCUUUGAUACUGGCAAUCUAGAGUCCGGAAGAGGUGAGUGGAACUCCUAGUGUAGAGGUGGAAUUCGUAGAUAUUAGGAAGAACACCAGUGGCGAAGGCGGCUCACUGGUCCGGCACUGACGCUGAGGUGCGAAAGCGUGGGGAGCAAACAGG